CCCAUAACCCCAUAACCCACCCCAUAACCCCCCAGCUGACCCCGUAACCCCCCAGCUGACCCUAUAACCCCCCCAUAACCCCACAGCUCUGUGCUCCUCGUUGGCCCCCGUUGGCUUCCAGCCCUUUUACUCCACCAUCACCUCCCAUAACCCCACUGUCCCCCCUGACCCCAUAACCCCAUAACCCACCCCAUAACCCCCCAGCUGACCCCGUAACCCCCCAGCUGACCCUAUAACCGCCCUAUAACCCCACAGCUCUGUGCUCCUCGUUGGCCCCCGUUGGCUUCCAGCCCUUUUACUACGCCGUCACUUCGGGCCCCACCGUGCGCUGCGUCACCGCCUGCGCCCCCAACACCGCCCACACCAUCGACUGCAACAGCGGCCACUGCAGGGUGUCCACCGCCGGCCCACACUGCCAGUGUUGGGACGGCGCCCUCUAUUGGUACGCGGGGCAGCGCUGCACGGGACGGGUCAGCAAAGUGGGCUUCGGGCUGGGACUGCUGGCGGCCCUUCUGCUGCUGCUCUGCGCCGCACUCACAGCGCUGCUGCUCAGGAGGAGGGCGAGAUCCGCAGCGCCCCCCUCCGACGGCGCCCAUUGGUACGAGUUGGACUCCGCCGCGUGGCCCUCCCCCGACGGCUUCGCGUACCGCAACAGCGCCGCAGGCUGCUCCCUGCGCAGUUUCACGCCCUCAUUGGACGCAGUGAAUACCUCCGUCCCGGUGAGUGCCCCCCCCAAACCCCCACCCCACAGCGCCCCACACUUAUGGGGUCGGCGCCCCACACUUAUGGGGCCCCGCUGACCCCACACCUCCCACCCCACAGAUGCAGAUCGCCCGACCCACCGUACACACGCGCUUCUGAGCCCCCCCUAUGGGGGAACCGCAGCCGGACCCACAACUUCGUCUGCCCCACAUCUGCCCCACAACUGCCCCACAACUGCCUGUCUGCCUCACUUCUGCCCCACAUCUGCCCCACAUCUGCCUGUCUGCCUCACUUCUGCCCCACAUCUGCCCCAUAACUGCCUGUCUGCCCCACAACUGCCUGUCUGCCCCACAUCUGCCCCACAACUGCCUGUCUGCCUCACUUCUGCAACAUAACUGCCCCACAUCUGCCCCAUAGCUGCCUGUCUGCCUCACAUCUGCCCCAUAACUGCCUGUCUGCCUCACUUCUGCCCCACAGCUGCCCCACAACCACCUGUCUGCCUCACUUCUGCCCCACAUCUGCCCCAUAGCUGCCUAUCUGCCCCACAUCUGCCCCACAUCUGCCCCACAUCUGCCUGCCUACCUCACAUCUGCCCCACAUCUGCCUCACAUCUGCCCCACACCUGCCUGCCUACCCCACAUCUGCCCCACAUCUGCCUCACAUCUGCCCCACACCUGCCUGUCUACCUCACAUCUGCCCCACAUCUGCCCCACAACUGCCUGUCUGCCUCACAUCUGCCCCACGUCUGCCUGUCUACCUCACAUCUGCCCCACAUCUGCCCCACACCUGCCUGUCUACCUCACAUCUGCCCCACAACUGCCCCACAUCUGCCCCACAACUGCCCCAAAUCCGCCCCACAUCUGCCUCACAUCCGCCCCACAUCCGCACGCAGGCCGUGCCCCUCCCCCCUUAUUUAUUAUUUAUUAAUGCAAUAAAUUAACGAACGG
ensembl:lncRNA